rnacentral:rRNA from 1 species
UUAGAAGUGAGAAUGCCGGUGUGAGUAGCGAAAGACGGGUGAGAAUCCCGUCCACCGAUUGACUAAGGUUUCCAGAGGAAGGCUCGUCCGCUCUGGGUUAGUCGGGUCCUAAGCUGAGGCCGACAGGCGUAGGCGAUGGAUAACAGGUUGAUAUUCCUGUACCACCUAUAAUCGUUUUAAUCGAUGGGGGGACGCAGUAGGAUAGGCGAAGCGUGCGAUUGGAUUGCACGUCUAAGCAGUAAGGCUGAGUAUUAGGCAAAUCCGGUACUCGUUAAGGCUGAGCUGUGAUGGGGAGAAGACAUUGAGUCUUCGAGUCGUUGAUUUCACACUGCCGAGAAAAGCCUCUAGAUAGAAAAUAGGUGCCCGUACCGCAAACCGACACAGGUAGUCAAGAUGAGAAUUCUAAGGUGAGCGAGCGAACUCUCGUUAAGGAACUCGGCAAAAUGACCCCGUAACUUCGGGAGAAGGGGUGCUCUUUAGGGUUAACGCCCAGAAGAGCCGCAGUGAAUAGGCCCAAGCGACUGUUUAUCAAAAACACAGGUCUCUGCUAAACCGUAAGGUGAUGUAUAGGGGCUGACGCCUGCCCGGUGCUGGAAGGUUAAGAGGAGUGGUUAGCUUCUGCGAAGCUACGAAUCGAAGCCCCAGUAAACGGCGGCCGUAACUAUAACGGUCCUAAGGUAGCGAAAUUCCUUGUCGGGUAAGUUCCGACCCGCACGAAAGGCGUAACGAUUUGGGCACUGUCUCAACGAGAGACUCGGUGAAAUCAUAGUACCUGUGAAGAUGCAGGUUACCCGCGACAGGACGGAAAGACCCCGUGGAGCUUUACUGUAGCCUGAUAUUGAAAUUCGGCACAGCUUGUACAGGAUAGGUAGGAGCCUUUGAAACGUGAGCGCUAGCUUACGUGGAGGCGCUGGUGGGAUACUACCCUAGCUGUGUUGGCUUUCUAACCCGCACCACUUAUCGUGGUGGGAGACAGUGUCAGGCGGGCAGUUUGACUGGGGCGGUCGCCUCCUAAAAGGUAACGGAGGCGCUCAAAGGUUCCCUCAGAAUGGUUGGAAAUCAUUCAUAGAGUGUAAAGGCAUAAGGGAGCUUGACUGCGAGACCUACAAGUCGAGCAGGGUCGAAAGACGGACUUAGUGAUCCGGUGGUUCCGCAUGGAAGGGCCAUCGCUCAACGGAUAAAAGCUACCCCGGGGAUAACAGGCUUAUCUCCCCCAAGAGUUCACAUCGACGGGGAGGUUUGGCACCUCGAUGUCGGCUCAUCGCAUCCUGGGGCUGUAGUCGGUCCCAAGGGUUGGGCUGUUCGCCCAUUAAAGCGGUACGCGAGCUGGGUUCAGAACGUCGUGAGACAGUUCGGUCCCUAUCCGUCGUGGGCGUAGGAAAUUUGAGAGGAGCUGUCCUUAGUACGAGAGGACCGGGAUGGACAUACCUCUGGUGUACCAGUUGUCGUGCCAACGGCAUAGCUGGGUAGCUAUGUGUGGACGGGAUAAGUGCUGAAAGCAUCUAAGCAUGAAGCCCCCCUCAAGAUGAGAUUUCCCAACUUCGGUUAUAAGAUCCCUCAAAGAUGAUGAGGUUAAUAGGUUCGAGGUGGAAGCAUGGUGACAUGUGGAGCUGACGAAUACUAAUCGAUCGAAGACUUAAUCAA